GUCAGACUCCACUCCGUGAGGCACAUCGAUCUGCAGGUUGAACAUGAGAAUCUAGCAGUACAUCCAACCAGCCUUACAACCGCAGACCACGUGUAACCAUGCCAGCCCAGGAUCUCCAUCUGGCUUCUUCACCUGUGGGAUCGUCUGAGACCAGCCACCCGGACAGCUGAUAAAAUUGGUCUUGACCUGACUGCAGUUUGGCGUCGUAACCGACUUCAGUGGGAAAAUGCUCACCUUCGAUGGCCACCGGCACGCUGGAACAGUGUGCUCUUCACAGAUGAAUCCCGGUUUCAACUGUACCAUUUCUAUUUUACCGGGCAGAUGGCGUGUAUGGCGUCAUGUGGGAGAGCAUUUUGCUGAUGUCAACUUUGACAGAAACAAGCAUCUUUCUGGAAGCUCCCGCGCUCAGGUCUGUUCAACGCUGGUCCGACCAAUUGGAUUCCAUGCUUCAAGACUGCUUCAAUCACGUGGAUUGGGAUAUGUUCCGCAUUGCGUCCAACAACAACAUUAACGAAUAUGCUGAUUUGGUGAGCCAGUUCAUUAGCAAGUGCAUCGGCGAUGUCGUACCCACAGCAACUGUUUAAGCAUUAUCUGCCACCCCACUUAGAAAGUGCCACAAGAGGGCAUCAGAGUUUAACAGCACUUAACCCCAACAUUUCUCCAAGUUUUAACCAUCAUUGUAAAGCCAUAGUUAUUUUUGUUGCUUUUUGUUGUCAUUGCAAAACAUUAUUAUGUGAUUCAUUUUAAGGUCAACCCUGAACUCUUGUUUUAAUAUUGUCCAACUAUUCCUAUUAAAUAUAUA
ensembl:lncRNA